GGCGCAUCAUGAGCACUAGUAAGUGUCAGCUGGUAUCACAUUAGCACAGGUGCUCUUCUCUCUUGCUCUCACAAUCCUGCGCGGCCUCACCCUUUCUCCACAGGCCAGAACAGCUCCCUGCAGAAGGGCUUCUAGAUGUACUGCGAGUUUUCUGAUGAAGUACCUGGUAAUUUUACAGUUAGCAAAACCAAGUAAAUUGUAAGAUUCAGUUGAAGCAAAGGAAUCAGGCCCCCAUCAGAAGAGAAUGAGAAGAGCGGGGCCAGAGCGGUGGGAGACAGGGUCUCAGGAAUCUGUUCCUGCCUUGGAACUGGAACUGGCCUGCUGUGUGACGUUGGGUAAGUCCCUUCCCCUCUCUGGGCCUCUGAUUCCUCAUCUGUGAAACAAAGAGACUGAUCAGAUGAGUUGUAGGUCCUCUCCUACCAUGGACAUUCUACCAUCUAUUCAUUCUUGUGGAGUCACUGGGUCUCUCUGGGCCCCAUUACUUUUCAGACUGUUAAGAACUAUGCCCCUGGCUCUUCCCUGCCUUCCAGAGCUGGGUGAUCAGCACAUCGCCCCUAGGUUCCAGAGACCUGGACACUCCAAGGAUCUGAGAGGGAUAGAUCGCUCAACUUGGCCGGCCGAGCAAUGGUUCUCAAACUUCACAGACACCAAAUCAGCAGCUUUCACCUGAGCUUCCCCCAGCCCUGCCCCCAGGAAGGAGGGAUGGCAUUGUUCUGUCACACACACCUGCUGGGCACAGAUCACAGGGUCCCUCCCAGGGCAGGAAGGCAUGGGUGGGGCAGGAUUGACUGCCUGGGUCUCAAGAUGAAUUAUUCAUUCCCCGGAACCAGGAAGGGGAUUUUCUUGAGUGCUAGAGACCUCGAUACCUGGUGUACUCUAUUCAAUUUGGCUGGGAGGAAUAGCGGAGUAGCGGAGGUCGGGGGAGAGGGCGGAACCAGAGCAAAACAGCCUUGUGUUAUUAAAGGGAAGCUGCAUUCUAGGCCCUGGGUGUCCCAGCUCUGGCAAAAGAUGACUUGCCAAGCAGGCCCAAGCGGUAACCUACCACCUCCAAUGGACCGUGCAGGUGUAGACAAUGAGCAUGGCCACCGUGCAAGGCCAGUGCACCUUCCCCAAGUGUUCCAGACUUUCUAAGAAAGGCCUGGAGAACUUGACUCACUAGGAGAAGGUGGAGAGAGAACGAGCCCCAAAGAUGAUUGAGAUGGAGUUCUCAGCCCCUGGAGGGGUGGAGGCUCACAGAGACACAUCAUUUAAUUUUAGAAAAAUAAAGUAAUGUAGCAUUACUUGCGCCCGAGCGAUGCAGAGCAGUAAAAUUCCUGCCUGCUACAUGAAGAGCCUCAAAUGAAUGGGAAUGGGUGGCAGCAUUGGCGUCAGUCAUCUCCUUGCACAAGAUCCUUCAGUGGAGUCUUGGCCCCUGUCACUGAUCAUCCUCCACCACCCUCUGCCAGGUACUCAGGCCCCUGUGUCCUUCUACAAGAGUGGUACCUGCUACAGACUAAACUGUGUGUCCUCAAAUUUCAUAGUUUGAAACCCCCACUCCCAGUGUGACUGUAUUUGGAAAUUGAGUCUUUAAGAAGAUAAUUAAGGUUAAAUGAGGUCAUAAGGGUGGGGCCCUAACCUGAUAGGACUGGCGUCUUUACGAGAAGAGAAAGAGACGCCAGAGGCUGGGUGCACACAGAAGAAAGGCCGUGUGAGGAGAGUGAGAGGGUGGCCAUCUGAAAGCCGGGAGGAGAGUCCUCACCAGAACCUGCUCGACCUCUGUCUUGGACUUGCAGCCUCCAGAAUGGGUGUCUUUCUUCCCUAGUGCUGUCUGCUCAUGCAAAGUUCAAGAAUCUGAAUGAUGUUUACUACACUUGGUCCAUCCAUGUCCUGCUCCAGAUCGCAUUCCAAGAUUCUGCUUCAGGAUCUCCCCUUGCCGUGGCUUCUGGAACAACCAGCCCCAACAGCCCUCUGGCACUGCAUGAUUUCCCUCUCCUUCCUACAGGAGCCCACAAGACUAUGUCCUUCUGCCUUUCUGUGGUCCUGGUGCCUUUAUCCCGAUCCUCUCUUAAUCCCCUCAACACUGUGAUUGUGCAGACAAACUAGUCUAGAUUCAAGUCCAGCCCCACUAAGGCUGUGUGAUCCAGACAAGUGACUUCAUGUGUUUGGGACUCAAUUUACUGUUCUUUGAAGUGAGGAUGACAGCACUUGUCUCCUAGGGCUGCUGUGAGGGUGAGAUGAGGUCCUGGCACACACCUGGGACAUCCUGGCUACACGGCUCACAGGUGUACCUGUCUCAGAGGAUGAAAGGAGAUGACAGAAGUAAAGAGCGAAGGCCUAGAGUGCACGUGCAUGUAGUAGGCACUCAGUACGUGGAAAUUAUUUUUGCAUUGUCACUGUCUCCCUGCCUUCAGAGGCUCACAAGAUCAGGAUCAAGCCUGAGAGGACUUUGUAGACCACCUAGUCCAGACCCAUCCAUUUUCCAGCUGGGAGAGCUGCCCAAGGUUCCACAGCGAGUAGGGCAAAGUUGGUAGAUGUGGUGGACACGGUGUUGACCUGAGAGCUCUCCCUAAUAAAACUCUGCAGGCUAACCUCCCUCUCCAAGAGUACUGCUGAGAACCUGACCUGUGAUGGUAGGAGGGUGAGACAUCUGUCGGCUGAUAGGCAGAUCUUCUGUCUCCUGGUUCCUGCCGUUUCCAUGUUGAGGUACAGAAUCAAUGUCCUUGGCCACACCCCAGGGGGAAGGAGACCCCUGACUCUGAGAGAGUAGUCACCAGCCUCUGCUACCGGGCCAGGAUUUCUGCAGCCACUUCACUAUCUUCCCCACCUCUAACAUCCUCCUCCUCGAAUAAGGCCCUUCACAGUAUCCUUGGUGGCAUUCUAAAUCACUAAUCCAGCCUCAGGUCUUUCCUGUGUAAAAUGACUCCUCUUUCCCUAGAGGAGACACUCAAGCCCAAGCUCAUUAACUCCGUUUGGGGCUCCUGCUCGUUCGCCCAGCUGCACCUCUUCCUUCUCUCUUUCCACAACAUUCUGAACUUUGUUAUUUCACACGACAUGUUCUUUCAUCUUGCCUUUUUGCAGGAGUCCUUCUCUCCGUUUGGAACACCUCCCGCUCCUCCUCUGAAACUUUAUCCCACAGGUGAUCCAUCCCUCCUGUUUCCCGUUCCUAGUUCCGUGGUUGCCGGGCCACUCUGCACUGUAACUAUCAGCUCAGUGGGCCGUCUUCCUCGCUCCUCCUUAAGGGUGGGGACUGUGCCCCGGUCAUCUCGGUGUCCCUAGGCCCUGGCGCAGAAGGAAUGCCUUAUACGUGACACAGGAAGCCCCCCAGUCCUAGGCUCUUAAAUCUACCUUUGGUUGGGGAGUGGGUGGAGGGACUAGGGCACCUGAAACUCACUGUUUCUUCCAAAAGCUCUGAGCCUGGGAGGAGCUGCCUGAAUUGCAGGGCAGUUGGGAGCUGGGGAUCUGACCACAGGCAGCGUGUGCCCACAGCCGUCCCCAUGGGAACCAUGUCAGGCAAAGCUCCAGCUUAGAAUGAGCAGCCUGCCUAGGGCCUGAACCCAGCGGGGGCCGACGUGGGCACAGGGCUGGCUUAGGCCACCCGCAGCCCCCCGCCUCAGGGGCCUGUGAGGGGCUGCAGCUGCAGGGAUCCGGUGGGCAGGUUGCCAUGGAAACCAAACUGCUCGCCUUUUCUGGUGCUUGGAGUUCUGACAGGGAGGCCAAACUCCACAGAGCACCCUUGCCCCUGGGCUCCUCCUGGCCCGCUCAGCCUGUGUCCAGGGCACAUCACGGGCACAGAGAUGGCUGACAGGGGCUCGGAGUCACAGGAAAGCAGAAAGCACCAAGAAACUGGCCAUGAUUCUCUCCCUUCCACCUCAUCUGAUUAUUGCCAUGGGUUGGGGAUGGUUACUGCCUGAGAGGAGAUGGCUCACCCAAGGAGCAGUGCCCAAAGGAGGCAAGAGUCACGUCUGGGAAAGCUGUGGUGUCAAGAGCCUUGGUGUAGCAGACCUUGAGUUCUCCUCCUUGUCCUCAUGCUUCACAGCUUCAUUGGUGAAGCCUUUCUACCUCUCUAAGCCCAGUUUCCCCACUCACAAAAUAAGGACCACUUGAUCCACCAGAUAUCCAUCAGGCAUCAUUAUUCAAAGGCAUGGUGCCAGGGGCUGGACUUCCAGGAAUAAGUCAUGGACCCUGCCCUGGAGGAACUCCCAGCCGCACAGAAGGGCUCUCUGUUGACCCACUGUGUGCCUGGCAUUAUGAAGCAUGCCAGAAUAGGCACGGUCACACUUUUCUCAAGGAGCACAAAUAAAACUUCUUAGGGAGAUGAACUCAGAGCAUGCACCUACGAAACACAGAAGGAAGGUUGUAACUUACUGAGAAAGAAAACUUUAAUGUGUAUCUUUACUUGAGACAGGAGGGUUCCUGGGAUGAAGCCUGAAAAGAGGAGGUUGAGUCACAGGGGGUGAAACUGGUCUGUGUCAUAAAAUUCUCUGGUUGUGUGGAGCAGAAGAAAUCUUUGCAAAAUAUAUUGCUUUCUGAAAAAUAAUUCUUUCCCUUUGCUAUGCUAAAAGUGUCCUGAGAACCCAGUUCCAAUGUGUGUCGGCGGGGAGGGUUUCCCUCACAUCCAGCUAGCAAGGCCUACAAUUCAACUAAAUUCUGACACCACCCACCUGGAGACAGCAUCAGACUCCACAAGCUAAGGACUCAGACCCACAAGACUGCCCUCUGCUUUAGACGCCAAUCACAAGCCCAGGUUGUUAGCUGUACUGCUGACAGACUGGCUAUACAUCAGAGAUUCCCAUGACCCCCUCUUUGGGUUCGAUUAACUUGCCAGAGCAGCUCACAGAAUGCAGGAAACCUGUUUACUCACUAGAUUACCAGCUUGUUAUAGAAGGAUAUAACUCAGGAAUAGCCAGAUGGGACAGAUGCACAGGGCAGGGUUUGGGGAAAAGGCACAGAGGUUCCAUGCCCUCUCCAGGCACGCUACUCUCCCAGAGUCUCCACAUGUUCACCAGCUCAGAAGCUCCCUAAACCCCAUCCUUUGGAGUUUUUAUGAGGCUUCAUUACAGAGGCGUCAUUGAUUAAAUCAUUGGCCGUUGGCAAUUGAACUCAACCUGCAGCCCCCUCCCCAGACAUGGCAGGAGGAGCGGGGGGUGACUGAAAGUUCCAACCCUCUAAUCACAUGAUUGAUUCUCCUGCAACCAGCCCACCUGCUUAGGUGCAGUCCAAAUGUCACCAAGGAAAUGCCAAGGGUUUAGGAGCUCUGCACCAGAAAACAAGGCGAAGAC
rnacentral:lncRNA from 1 species